AGAGUUUGAUCCUGGCUCAGAUUGAACGCUGGCGGCAGGCCUAACACAUGCAAGUCGAGCGGUAGCACAGAGAGCUUGCUCUCGGGUGACGAGCGGCGGACGGGUGAGUAAUGUCUGGGAAACUGCCUGAUGGAGGGGGAUAACUACUGGAAACGGUAGCUAAUACCGCAUAAUGUCGCAAGACCAAAGUGGGGGACCUUCGGGCCUCAUGCCAUCAGAUGUGCCCAGAUGGGAUUAGCUAGUAGGUGGGGUAACGGCUCACCUAGGCGACGAUCCCUAGCUGGUCUGAGAGGAUGACCAGCCACACUGGAACUGAGACACGGUCCAGACUCCUACGGGAGGCAGCAGUGGGGAAUAUUGCACAAUGGGCGCAAGCCUGAUGCAGCCAUGCCGCGUGUGUGAAGAAGGCCUUCGGGUUGUAAAGCACUUUCAGCGGGGAGGAAGGCGUUAAGGUUAAUAACCUUGGCGAUUGACGUUACCCGCAGAAGAAGC
rnacentral:rRNA from 1 species